rnacentral:lncRNA from 1 species
UCUCUCGAAGUAUAUAUAACAGAAGCCUCUUUCUAUCAAUUAUUUAUCAAAGGGAGACAAUUCUCUUUUUUUUAAUUUUUAGUGAGCCUGGGAUUUCUUUAAAUAGUUUAUUUUCCAAUUUUGAUUUUAUGACACAACUGUCCCUGUUGAUUUGUGUCAUUCAGGGGAAAAUCCUUCAUUGUAAAAAUAGUGACGUAAUGAUAUUUGUCUUUUGACAUCAAUUAUUUUUACCACAAAAUAGCACCAGUUGGAGGAUUAUGUAAUACAAAUAAUUCAGGAUAGUUUAGAAAUGAAGUUUUAUGUAUAAUUCAAUUAUGGUUAUAAUUAUGAACUACAUGGAUUGUUUGCUACACAUGUUUAAUUAAAUCAAUUAACUUUGGUUGUAAAUACAAAUCAAUACUAAUCAAUUCAUUAAAAUAUCAUUUUCACACUACCUGUAGUUUGUAUAAAAUGGAAAUGACUUUUGCUGCUAAAGGGAGGUAAUUUAUUAUUCCUAAAUGGUAAUUUGUGUAAAAAGGUAGAUAACUGAUUAUCAUUUCCAGUAAAUUCAACACAAAUUGCCCUGAUUAUUUAGUAUCAUUUAAAUAUUAACAGAUUAAUACAGGAAUUACUCUUUUUUUUACUAUGAAAGGAAAAUGAGGAUGAACAAAAUAAUGCAUAUCAUUCAUAUAAUU